rnacentral:rRNA from 1 species
GAUGAACGCUGGCGGCGUGCCUAACACAUGCAAGUCGAGCGGAGAAUUGUUGCUUGCAACAAUUCUUAGCGGCGGACGGGUGAGUAACACGUGGGUAACCUGCCCUAAACAAAGGGAUAACAAUGAGAAAUCAUUGCUAAUACCGUAUAAGCUUACACUAUCGCAUGAUAGAGUAAGAAAAGAUUUAUCGGGUUAGGAGGGGCCCGCGUCUGAUUAGCUAGUUGGAGAGGUAACGGCUCACCAAGGCGACGAUCAGUAGCCGACCUGAGAGGGUGAUCGGCCACAUUGGGACUGAGACACGGCCCAAACUCCUACGGGAGGCAGCAGUGGGGAAUAUUGCACAAUGGAGGAAACUCUGAUGCAGCAACGCCGCGUGAAGGAAGAAGGUUUUCGGAUCGUAAACUUCUAUCUACAGGGAAGAAAAAAAUGACGGUACCUGAGUAAGAAGCCCCGGCUAACUACGU